AUGAAAAAAAAAAAAAAGAAAAUCCCCAGAGGAACACGUUCCCUGGGGUUGGAAUUUGCAGUAACAGGUGUGAGAAUCCUAGCAGCAGUUUGGUGAUCAUGUAUGAUACUGCAAACAGGA